GAGUUUGAUCUUGGCUCAGAUUGAACGCUGGCGGCAUGCCUUACACAUGCAAGUCGAACGGCAGCAUGAUCUAGCUUGCUAGAUUGAUGGCGAGUGGCGAACGGGUGAGUAAUACAUCGGAACGUGCCCUGUAGUGGGGGAUAACUAGUCGAAAGAUUAGCUAAUACCGCAUACGACCUGAGGGUGAAAGUGGGGGACCGCAAGGCCUCAUGCUAUAGGAGCGGCCGAUGUCUGAUUAGCUAGUUGGUGGGGUAAAGGCCCACCAGGGCGACGAUCAGUAGCUGGUCUGAGAGGACGAUCAGCCACACUGGGACUGAGACACGGCCCAGACUCCUACGGGAGGCAGCAGUGGGGAAUUUUGGACAAUGGGGGCAACCCUGAUCCAGCAAUGCCGCGUGUGUGAAGAAGGCCUC
rnacentral:rRNA from 1 species